AGAGGUAGCGACCUGCCAAAGCCCAACCCCAAAGCGGCUCCGGAGUUGGGCUGCUCACAAAUCAAGUUGUCUGUUUAUAUGGAGUGCCUGGAGGGUGUCUGCCAUGAGUCUGUCACUAACCGUGCUAACCAGGAGAGCUGGCUGGUUGGGGAGAAGACACUAACCCUGAGCUUUUGGCAAGAGGAAGGGGAGGGGCCGUGGGAUGCGGAGAGGCAAAGGCUAACUCCCGGACAGCAGAACAGAGCAAGCUGCUGACAAACAGACGCAGGUUGAGGAGCCCUCACCUCCCAGAAUGACCAGUGCGACCCCUGCUAAGAAACCCUACGGCAAAGCACCGCCUGAGCAUCAGGAGAUGCGGCUGGAAGCUCCUGGGUCCCAGCUUGAGCAGCAGGAGUCCCUGACUGACGCAGAGAGGAUGAAGCUGUUGCAGCAGGAGAAUGAAGAGCUUCGCAGGCGCCUGGCCUUGGCCACCAGGCGCACCGAGGCCCUGGAGCGAGAGCUGGAAAUUGGGCAGGACUGCCUGGAGCUGGAGCUGGGCCAGAGCCGCGAGGAGAUGGACAAAUUUAAGGACAAGUUCCGCAGGCUGCAGAACAGCUACACAGCUUCCCAGAGGACCAACCAGGAGCUGGAGGACAAGCUGCACACGCUGGUAACCUGUCCAAGAGGGCAGUCUGGCUGGCACUGUGCUCACAGCAUAGCAGGGGGCUAGGACUUGCCAAGGGAAU